CGAGCCGGCCGGACGGCCGCGUCGGGGAGCGAUCCCCGCCGAGGAAAGUCCGGGCUCCACAGGGCAGGGUGGUCGGCAACACCGACCCGGGGCGACCCGCGGGACAGUGCCACAGAGAACAGACCGCCACCUUCACCGGUGGUAAGGGUGAAACGGUGAGGUAAGAGCUCACCAGCGCCCACGGUGACGUGGGCGGCUCGGUAAACCCCACCCGGAGCAAGGUCAAGAAGGGAAGCGACGCUUCCCGCGCAGGCGCCUGAGGGCGGCCCGCCCGAGCCUGCGGGUAGACCGCUGGAGACCGACGGCAACGCCGGUCCGAGAUGGAUGGCCGUCACCUGCCGAGCGCAGGCACAGAACCCGGCUUACAGGCCGACUCGUCCG
rnacentral:RNase_P_RNA from 1 species